GAUGAACGCUGGCGGCGUGCCUAAUACAUGCAAGUCGAGCGAACGGACGAGAAGCUUGCUUCUCUGAUGUUAGCGGCGGACGGGUGAGUAACACGUGGAUAACCUACCUAUAAGACUGGGAUAACUUCGGGAAACCGGAGCUAAUACCGGAUGAUAUUUUGAACCGCAUGGUUCAAAAGUGAAAGACGGUCUUGCUGUCACUUAUAGAUGGAUCCGCGCUGCAUUAGCUAGUUGGUAAGGUAACGGCUUACCAAGGCAACGAUGCAUAGCCGACCUGAGAGGGUGAGCGGCACCACGGGAACGAGACCGCGGUCCAGACUCCAGCGGGAGGAGGCAGAGGGGAAUCUUCCGCAAGGGGCGAAGGCCUGAGGGGUCACCGCGGCGGGAUUGAGAAAGUUCUUCGGAUCGUAAAACUUUUUUAUAAGGGAAGAAAAUUUGUGAAAUAAACUGUGCACUUCUUGCGGGUACCAAACCAGAAGGCCCCGGCUAACUCCGUG
rnacentral:rRNA from 1 species